rnacentral:rRNA from 1 species
UACGUAGGGUGCAAGCGUUAAUCGGAAUUACUGGGCGUAAAGCGUGCGCAGGCGGUUAUGUAAGACAGAUGUGAAAUCCCCGGGCUCAACCUGGGAACUGCAUUUGUGACUGCAUAGCUAGAGUACGGUAGAGGGGGUGGAAUUCCCGGUGUAGUGGUGAAAUGCGUAGAGAUCGGGAGGAACACCUGUGGCGAAGGCGGCCCCUGGGCCGGCCCUGACACUGAGAGACGAAAGCUAGGGGAGCGAAUGGG